rnacentral:rRNA from 1 species
UACGAAGGGGGCUAGCGUUGUUCGGAUUUACUGGGCGUAAAGCGCACGUAGGCGGAUCGAUCAGUCAGGGGUGAAAUCCCAGGGCUCAACCCUGGAACUGCCUUUGAUACUGUCGAUCUGGAGUAUGGAAGAGGUGAGUGGAAUUCCGAGUGUAGAGGUGAAAUUCGUAGAUAUUCGGAAGAACACCAGUGGCGAAGGCGGCCAACUGGUCCGGCACUGACGCUGAGGUGCGAAAGCGUGGGGAGCAAACAGG